GGUCAAGCUGGUUUUCAACAUUUUUAUGUAUGUCAUUCUCAAUAUAGCAACAGAAUCUCUUAUGGAAAACAAUGAGCCACAAGUUGCAUGGAACAGGAUCUGGAGAAUAAUGUGGACAAAGACACACCAUAGUGCUUCUGCAAUCUUGUGUUUCCAAUCAGUGGCACUUCAGCAGUCACUAGAUUUUUUUAAUCACAUCUUGCAAGAACAUUGUUAAAAGAAGAACUGGUUCACAAAGUGACAAGAAUGGUGAGACGACUGUUCAAAGCAAGAGGGAGGUUUUUGAGUGUGAUUCAUUGCACUCUGUACUUUAUGAUAAGAAUUUUUAAAAAUUUGAACAUUGUAAAUAUAAAUUUUGGAACAUAGGUUUUUAUGGCGCUGUAUUUUGGAUCUUGAAUGUUCUCUUAUAACUAUGUAUUAAAAGCUCGUAUCUG
rnacentral:lncRNA from 1 species